rnacentral:misc_RNA from 1 species
GAUGAAGAACGUAGCGAAAUGCGAUACUUGGUGUGAAUUGCAGAAUCCCGUGAACCAUCGAGUUUUUGAACGCAAGUUGCGCCCGAAGCCAUUCGGCCGAGGGCACGUCUGCCUGGGUGUCACGCAUCGUUGCCCCCCCAAACUCCGGUUCGGGCGGGGCGGAAGUUGGCCUCCCGUGUGUGCCUGCGCGCGCGGUUAGCCCAAAAGCGAGUCCUCGGCGACGAGCGCCACGACAAUCGGUGGUUUUUUUACCCUCGUUCCUCGUCGUGCGUGUCCCGUCGCCCGAACGCGCUCUUGUGACCCUCACGCGUCGCCUCGGCGGCGCUCCCAACGCGACCCCAGGUCAGGCGGGACUACCCGCUGAGUUUAAGCAUAUCAAUAAGCGGAGGA